rnacentral:rRNA from 1 species
UACGUAGGGUGCGAGCGUUUGUCCGGAAUUAUUGGGCGUAAAGAGCUCGGUAGGCGGUCUGUCGCGUCUGCUGAUGAAAACCUAGGGCUUAACUCUGGGCGUGCAGUGGGUACGGGCAGGCUAGAGUGCGGUAGGGGAGACUGGAAUUCCUGGUGUAAGCGGUGAAAUGCGCAGAUAUCAGGAGGAACACCGGUGGCGAAGGCGGGUCUCUGGGCCGUAACUGACGCUGAGGAGCGAAAGCAUGGGGAGCGAACAGG